ACGGAGGGGGCGAGCGUUGUCCGAAGUUACUGGGCGUAAAGGGCGCGUAGGCGGGAUGGCAAGUCAGUCGUGAAAUCUCUCGGCUCAACCGAGAAACGUCGGCUGAUACUGCCGUUCUUGAGGGAUGCAGAGGAGACUGGAAUUCCCGGUGUAGCGGUGAAAUGUGUAGAGAUCGGGAGGAACACCGGUGGCGAAGGCGAGUCUCUGGGCAUUUCCUGACGCUGAGGCGCGAAAGCGUGGGGAGCAAACGGGA
rnacentral:rRNA from 1 species